CAAUAUUUCUGUAAACAGAAUCUGUUCUUUCCUUUCCUCUGCUGCCACAGCAACAUUGUUGCACGGAACCUUGUCUGUGCCUGAUUGAUCUGCAUACCAUACCCUUACCACUCUCUCCCCUGACAUGAACAAAUUUUGUCUUGAGGAGAGUGCACUAGGAGAAAGCAAAGGUGGGUUUGCUUUCACUAGCCUGCAGCCCAGGACUCCCCACUCGUGCAAGACCCUGGAGCAAAAGGCCCUUACCGACCUCGCUGGGCUGUGGUUGACAGAGUCACUUUCAGAGGAGCCAAUCCGGCGCGGGAGUUACUGGAAAAUGAGGUCCUAUUUACCUUUCCUAUCAUAAAUGAAGAUCAGUUAAGGUAAAAAAAUCAGACGAACACCUGAAGAUAUGUGCAAUGACCAAGGAUUCUACCCGUGAGAUGGCAUCGGUUCACCUGGAGCUACACAAGGGAAGAAGGGAAGCUAAUACCAGGUCACACAGCUGGGAAGCAGCAGACACAGAUUAAUCAGGUUGAUCUGAUUCCGAGUCCAGAUUAGUGGAAGACACAAGUGCCCCCACAUGGAGCUGAAUGCGCUUCUGCCGUGCGACCGCCACCCUAGGCUUUAACCGCGCAUCCUGCGUCCUUCUGGAACCUCGCUUGCUCACAUCCCGUAGAUGACAUCAAAAAGCUUCAAGGUUAACUGCAGAGCCUUGUCUGAAAUAGCCCGGCCAAGUGUACAAACACCGCCCGCAGAUGAGACGAGAAGCCCAGUCCAAGGUUACGUGCUUGUAACAAGCCCAAGAUUGCACGCUUGUUCAGCCCUACAGAAACCCUGCUUUUUGUGAUUCGGGGCUCCACUCUCCUUGAAGGUGGGGUCCACGUGCAUGAAUAAACUCCUAGUCCUCUGGAUUUUCUGUCUCCGUGCCAGUUAUCCUCAUUGGGCCUAACAAGUACACCAUGUGUGAGGACCUUGUGAAACCCUUUCUUGGGCAUCACUAGCCAACAAAGCCGGAGAUCCUUUAGUGGGAGGGAUCAAGGUGCUUUUGUUAGGUAGGGUUGCCAUAACGAAGUUCUACAGUCUGGGUGGCUCGAACAACAAAUAUUUAUUCUCUCCUCUUCUGGAAACAAAGAGUACAAGGUCAAGGUGCCAGCAGGGGUGGCUUCUCUUGGUCCUCCUCCUCGGCUUGUAGGUGACCAUUUCCGGUGUCCUCUCGUGGCUGUUCCUCUAUGCAUUUCUGUGUCUUAAUCUCUUCUUACAAUGACACCAGCCCUGUUGGUUCAGGACCCAUCCUAAUGACCUCCCUUGACCCUAAUUACUUCGGUAAAGG
rnacentral:lncRNA from 1 species